rnacentral:rRNA from 1 species
AUUGAACGCUGGCGGCAGGCCUAACACAUGCAAGUCGAGCGGAGCGGCGGACGGGGGAGUAUUGCCUAGGAAUCUGCCUGGCAGUGGGGGAUAACGUCCGGAAAAGGGCGCGAAUACCGCAUACUAUCAGAUGAGCCUAGGUCGGAUUAGCUAGGUGGUGGGGUAAAGGCCUACCAAGGCGACGAUCCGUAACUGGUCUGGGAGGGUGAUCAGUCAACCUGGAACUGAGACACGGUCCAGACUCCUACGGGAGGCAGCAGUGGGGAAUAUUGGACAAUGGGCGAAAGCCUGAUCCAGCCAUGCCGCGUGUGUGAAGAAGGUCUUCGGAUUGUAAAGCACUUUAAGUUGGGAGGCGUUACCAAGAGAAUAAGCACCGGCUAACUUCGUGCCAGCAGCCGCGGUAAUAC